UACGUAGGGUGCAAGCGUUGUCCGGAAUUAUUGGGCGUAAAGAGCUCGUAGGUGGUUCGGUAAGUCGGAUGUGAAAUCUCCAGGCUCAACCUGGAGGGGUCAUUCGAUACUGCCGUGACUAGAGGUCGGUAGGGGAGUGUGGAAUUCCUGGUGUAGCGGUGAAAUGCGCAGAUAUCAGGAGGAACACCGGUGGCGAAGGCGGGUCUCUGGGCCGAUACUGACGCUGAGGAGCGAAAGCGUGGGGAGCGAACAGG
rnacentral:rRNA from 1 species